CGAGCGGGCGAGGUUGCUUCGGUAACUGAGCUAUCGGCGGACGGGGGAGUAAUGCUUAGGAAUCUGCCUAUUAGUGGGGGACAACAUUCCGAAAGGAAUGCUAAUACCGCAUACGCCCUACGGGGGAAAGCAGGGGAUCUUCGGACCUUGCGCUAAUAGAUGAGCCUAAGUCAGAUUAGCUAGUUGGUGGGGUAAAGGCCUUACCAAGCGACGAUCUGUAGCGGGUCUGAGAGGAUGAUCCGGCACACUGGGACUGAGACACGGCCCAGACUCCUACGGGAGGCAGCAGUGGGGAAUAUUGGACAAUGGGCGCAAGCCUGAUCCAGCCAUGCCGCGUGUGUGAAGAAAGGCCUUUUGGUUGUAAAGCACUUUAAGCGAGGAGGAGGCUACUUGGAUUAAUACUCUAGGAUAGUGGACGUUACUCGCAGAAUAAGCACCGGCUAACUCUGUGCCAGCAGCCGCGGUAAUACAGAGGGUGCGAGCGUUAAUCGGAUUUACUGGGCGUAAAGCGUGCGUAGGCGGCUUCUUAAGUCGGAUGUGAAAUCCCUGAGCUUAACUUAGGAAUUGCAUUCGAUACUGGGAAGCUAGAGUAUGGGAGAGGAUGGUAGAAUUCCAGGUGUAGCGGUGAAAUGCGUAGACAUCUGGAGGAUACCGAUGGCGA
rnacentral:rRNA from 1 species